AAGUGUCGGUGAAGGUGUGCAGGCUUAAACUUUAAUUCAUAUGAGUGAAUAUCGCUCAAUCGAGCCGAGAAGAUUUCGUCCAUCACGCUUCGCUGCCACCUUCCACCAGUAUUCCAGCCAUUCUGUAUUUCACGUCUAUUUCAAACAGCUCGCCGUUUCGACACUGUCACGGAUAUAUAAUCGAGGAUGAAAGAGCAGAGCGAGUCGGAAAUUGUUGUGUUAUCAACGUACUGGCUUCAUAGAACCUUUAGAACAGAGUUGUGGAGCAAAUUCUCCUGAGGUGCGGGUAUUAAUCCAGAAGGUUCUUCAUAGCAUCCCCCAGGAGCCUCCCCACCUAUCGAGGACACGUCGACGAUGCCGAUGGAGGGGAUCCGGAUGGAAAGAAGGGAAAAGGGGCGGCGUGCGGGCAGGGGUCUGUUGGCGGGUAUGCACGGUAGGGGCAGAAGAGGACCUUGGCCUUUUCGCGGGGCAAAAAUAAAACCUGUUGACACCGAAGCCCCGCGGACGUAAAGGAACCUCUCUGUCUCCCUUCUUCGACCAGUUUCCAAUAUCUCUCUUAAAUAUUCGCCUGAUGAUUCUCCUCAAAUUGCACGAUUUUCAAACUUGUUCAUAUAGGUUAGGCUGCUAUUAUUUUGUUAGUGGAAAUUCCAAGCUGGUCUAAAAAUAAAAGGAGAACAAGGAUAUGUUAGAUUAGACCAAAGUGGAAUAAGGCGCAUUUGUACUUUUGCGUUCACAAAACGUCAUCGUUACUGUCGAUGCGUAAAAUGAACGCCCCCGCGGCUUUGUGCGCUCCCAGGGCCGAUUUCAUCGCAUGUUGGAGUCUCCGCUUCGCACGGGCAUUCCUUUCUACUACUGCAUUUCGGCCAUUCUUUUUGCUGCUUUAACCUUCUAGAACUUUUUUUCCGAUACAUCAACAUCUAUCGCAGUAUAUUUCCUCCAAAUUUCGUCAUCUAGGUUUCAAUAAUUUUUCAUCGCGGACAUUCUUCGUAAUAUUGUCAAGUUUCUCUUAGUUUAGAACUUUAUGGUGACUCAUGGAAUCGAGUAUGGCUCGGCUAUACUCGACUUCUGAGAAAAUCCGCAUUAUUCAAAAGUGAUCUCAGUGUUAUAUACAGUAAUACCGGUCGAAUGCAUCUGGUCUCCAGUGUUUCCCCUACAGUACCUACCAGACACGCUGCUCCAACGAUUGCUUUCUGCGUGUUCGUGCGUGCACGAUGCCGAGCAUGCACCUUGCCACGACUAGACGAGCGAGAGACGACGAGAAGCGGCCUCCGGCAACCUCAACCUAGCUACAGACAACCGCUACCGUCUCUGUGUGCACGCUAUGCUGCCACGACGCGGAAAAAAGCAAUACAGAAUGUACCGACUAGGCUACCAGCCGCUACUCCCCCUUUUUUUAUGAGAAAAUUUUGUUUGAAAAGCGAUACGGCAGUUGUACUUUCCUCCUCUUGCAUGAUCAUUCCUCUUGAAUUUAUUUAGAUCUUUGUUUAGUAGUCGUUGUUUAGCAAAAAUAGAUAUAGUUAUAAGUUAACUAUAGACUUCUAUAAUGAAAUAAGAAUAAUUAUAAUUUAUCGGUACAAAUUGUUAAGAAUUCAGUAUUACCUAACCCCCAUCUAAUAUACAAAUUGACCGCAAAGUACUUCCAAAACUAAAAUAAGCUUGCACAUGGAAACAAAAUAUAGCUGGUACAGGAAGCAACGCAUCAGGAUGGAAACGCAUCGUAUCGGAAUGCACCUGCCAUCGAACACGGGAAACGAGCUUACGCAGAAAAAUGCGAUUCUUCUGCAAAGUUGAGCGAUUCCCGGCAAGAGAAAAGGUCACGCACACCUGCGUAACCACGGUACAGAGAAGUUGCAACAAUAAAAGCGGCAGUACAACGUGACUACCAUCGAUGGGGAAACGUAUAAAUAGAGGGCCGGCCUAACAGGCCAUAUCGGAAAAAUUCUCAUUUAGCCCCUGGCCAAUGAAAGACCAGGUGGGUCCGCAUGAAAAACUCCAGAAGGGAAAGGGUCACGCCUGUUAACUUCUGGAGAUCUUAGAAGAGUGGCUCAAUGGAGGGGACCACGAGUGCAUCUGCAUCCGGGAAAUAAAACGUAUCGUGCUAAACAAUUAAACAAAACUGAAAUAUGAGGUGGUCUGGCUAAUUGCCAUUUCAGCUGAUUGGGUGACUUCUCAUUUUAAAGUUUCCGCAACUUCCUACAAUAAAAAAUAUAUUGAUAUUUUAAUGCAACUGCAACUUGAACGUCGAAGACACAAAAAUAACAAAAUAACGUUAUGGGAAAGUUCAAUAAAAUAUCUCAAAAAUAAUA